AAAACGGUAUCCUUCAGUUGGAAAACGUCGGAAGAAGAACAAGAUAGUGCGGAAUAGGGGAACACUGGAAUCGUAUUUAUAUGCUUCGGAGGGAACACAAGGCUCAGUAGGAACCCGACAAGGAUCACAAGGAACACAAGGGUGAAACUAGUUAUGUUGUUUUAUGUUAGCCAAACUUUGAAUAAUACUUGUAAGACUUGGUAAAAUUAGUUUUGUAGUUUG
rnacentral:lncRNA from 1 species